rnacentral:rRNA from 1 species
UACGUAGGGUGCGAGCGUUGCCCGGAUUUAUUGGGCGUAAAGGGCGCGUAGGCGGCUCGGCACGUCCGUUGUGAAAUCGCCCGGCUCAACUGGGCGGGGUCAGCGGAUACGGUCGAGCUCGAGCAAGCUAGGGGGCAAUGGAAUUCCCGGUGUAGUGGUGGAAUGCGUAGAUAUGACAUAGAACACCAAUUGCGAAGGCAGCUGGCUACGCGAAUAUUGACACUGAUGCACGAAAGCGUGGGGAUCAAACAGG